AACGAACGCUGGCGGCAUGCCUAAUACAUGCAGGUCGAACGAGAUCUUCGGAUCUAGUGGCGCACGGGUGCGUAACGCGUGGGAAUCUGCCCUUGGGUUCGGAAUAACUUCUGGAAACGGAAGCUAAUACCGGAUGAUGACGUAAGUCCAAAGAUUUAUCGCCCAAGGAUGAGCCCGCGUAGGAUUAGGUAGUUGGUGAGGUAAAGGCUCACCAAGCCGACGAUCCUUAGCUGGUCUGAGAGGAUGAUCAGCCACACUGGGACUGAGACACGGCCCAGACUCCUACGGGAGGCAGCAGUAGGGAAUAUUGGACAAUGGGCGAAAGCCUGAUCCAGCAAUGCCGCGUGAGUGAUGAAGGCCUUAGGGUUGUAAAGCUCUUUUACCCGGGAUGAUAAUGACAGUACCGGGAGAAUAAGCGCCGGCUAACUCCGUG
rnacentral:rRNA from 1 species